GGUCAAGUGAAGAAGCGCAUACGGUGGAUGCCUUGGCAGUCAGAGGCGAUGAAAGACGUGGUAGCCUGCGAAAAGCUUCGGGGAGUCGGCAAACAGACUGUGAUCCGGAGAUGUCUGAAUGGGGGAACCCAGCUGUCAUAAGACAGUUACCUUACACUGAAUACAUAGGUGUAUGGAGCGAACCAGGGGAACUGAAACAUCUAAGUACCCUGAGGAAAAGAAAUCAACCGAGAUUCCCUUAGUAGUGGCGAGCGAACGGGGACCAGCCCUUAAGUUGAUUUGAGAUUAGCGGAACGCUCUGGAAAGUGCGGCCAUAGUGGGUGAUAGCCCUGUACGCGAAAAUCUCUUGUCAAUGAAAUCGAGUAGGACGGGGCACGAGAAACCUUGUCUGAACAUGGGGGGACCAUCCUCCAAGGCUAAAUACUACUGACUGACCGAUAGUGAACCAGUACCGUGAGGGAAAGGCGAAAAGAACCGCGGAGAGCGGAGUGAAAUAGAUCCUGAAACCGUAUGCGUACAAGCAGUGGGAGCCCACUUUGUUGGGUGACUGCGUACCUUUUGUAUAAUGGGUCAGCGACUUAUUUUCAGUGGCGAGCUUAACCGAAUAGGGGAGGCGUAGCGAAAGCGAGUCUUAAUAGGGCGUCUAGUCGCUGGGAAUAGACCCGAAACCGGGCGAUCUAUCCAUGGGCAGGUUGAAGGUUGGGUAACACUAACUGGAGGACCGAACCGACUACCGUUGAAAAGUUAGCGGAUGACCUGUGGAUCGGAGUGAAAGGCUAAUCAAGCUCGGAGAUAGCUGGUUCUCCUCGAAAGCUAUUUAGGUAGCGCCUCAUGUAUCACUGUAGGGGGUAGAGCACUGUUUCGGCUAGGGGGUCAUCCCGACUUACCAAACCGAUGCAAACUCCGAAUACCUACAAGUGCCGAGCAUGGGAGACACACGGCGGGUGCUAACGUCCGUCGUGAAAAGGGAAACAACCCAGACCGUCAGCUAAGGUCCCAAAGUCAUGGUUAAGUGGGAAACGAUGUGGGAAGGCUUAGACAGCUAGGAGGUUGGCUUAGAAGCAGCCACCCUUUAAAGAAAGCGUAAUAGCUCACUAGUCGAGUCGGCCUGCGCGGAAGAUGUAACGGGGCUCAAACCAUGCACCGAAGCUACGGGUAUCAUCUUAGGAUGAUGCGGUAGAGGAGCGUUCUGUAAGCCUGUGAAGGUGAGUUGAGAAGCUUGCUGGAGGUAUCAGAAGUGCGAAUGCUGACAUGAGUAACGACAAUGGGUGUGAAAAACACCCACGCCGAAAGACCAAGGUUUCCUGCGCAACGUUAAUCGACGCAGGGUUAGUCGGUCCCUAAGGCGAGGCUGAAAAGCGUAGUCGAUGGAAAACAGGUUAAUAUUCCUGUACUUCUGGUUAUUGCGAUGGAGGGACGGAGAAGGCUAGGCCAGCCUGGCGUUGGUUGUCCAGGUUUAAGGUGGUAGGCUGAAAUCUUAGGUAAAUCCGGGGUUUCAAGGCCGAGAGCUGAUGACGAGUGUUCUUUAGAACACGAAGUGGUUGAUGCCAUGCUUCCAAGAAAAGCUUCUAAGCUUCAGGUAACCAGGAACCGUACCCCAAACCGACACAGGUGGUUGGGUAGAGAAUACCAAGGCGCUUGAGAGAACUCGGGUGAAGGAACUAGGCAAAAUGGCACCGUAACUUCGGGAGAAGGUGCGCCGGUGAGGGUGAAGGACUUGCUCCGUAAGCUCAUGCCGGUCGAAGAUACCAGGCCGCUGCGACUGUUUAUUAAAAACACAGCACUCUGCAAACACGAAAGUGGACGUAUAGGGUGUGACGCCUGCCCGGUGCCGGAAGGUUAAUUGAUGGGGUUAGCUAACGCGAAGCUCUUGAUCGAAGCCCCGGUAAACGGCGGCCGUAACUAUAACGGUCCUAAGGUAGCGAAAUUCCUUGUCGGGUAAGUUCCGACCUGCACGAAUGGCGUAACGAUGGCGGCGCUGUCUCCACCCGAGACUCAGUGAAAUUGAAAUCGCUGUGAAGAUGCAGUGUAUCCGCGGCUAGACGGAAAGACCCCGUGAACCUUUACUAUAGCUUUGCACUGGACUUUGAAUUUGCUUGUGUAGGAUAGGUGGGAGGCUUUGAAGCGUGGACGCCAGUCUGCGUGGAGCCAACCUUGAAAUACCACCCUGGCAACUUUGAGGUUCUAACUCAGGUCCGUUAUCCGGAUCGAGGACAGUGUAUGGUGGGUAGUUUGACUGGGGCGGUCUCCUCCUAAAGAGUAACGGAGGAGUACGAAGGUGCGCUCAGACCGGUCGGAAAUCGGUCGUAGAGUAUAAAGGCAAAAGCGCGCUUGACUGCGAGACAGACACGUCGAGCAGGUACGAAAGUAGGUCUUAGUGAUCCGGUGGUUCUGUAUGGAAGGGCCAUCGCUCAACGGAUAAAAGGUACUCCGGGGAUAACAGGCUGAUACCGCCCAAGAGUUCAUAUCGACGGCGGUGUUUGGCACCUCGAUGUCGGCUCAUCACAUCCUGGGGCUGAAGCCGGUCCCAAGGGUAUGGCUGUUCGCCAUUUAAAGUGGUACGCGAGCUGGGUUUAGAACGUCGUGAGACAGUUCGGUCCCUAUCUGCCGUGGACGUUUGAGAUUUGAGAGGGGCUGCUCCUAGUACGAGAGGACCGGAGUGGACGAACCUCUGGUGUUCCGGUUGUCACGCCAGUGGCAUUGCCGGGUAGCUAUGUUCGGAAAAGAUAACCGCUGAAAGCAUCUAAGCGGGAAACUUGCCUCAAGAUGAGAUCUCACUGGAACCUUGAGUUCCCUGAAGGGCCGUCGAAGACUACGACGUUGAUAGGUUGGGUGUGUAAGCGCUGUGAGGCGUUGAGCUAACCAAUACUAAUUGCCCGUGAGGCUUGACCAU
rnacentral:rRNA from 1 species